GACGAACGCUGGCGGCGCGCCUAAUGAAUGCGAGUCGAACGAGAAGCAGACAGUUGAUCUCUUCGGAGUGAUUCAGUCUGUGGAAAGUGGCGAACGGGUGAGUAACACGUGGGUAACCUACCUCCGAGACGGGGACAACACAGGGAAACUUGUGCUAAUACCCGAUGGUCUACCGGUGCACAUGUACCGGAUAGUAAAUGGUCAGCCGCUCGGAGAUGGGCCCGCGGCCCAUUAGCUAGUUGGUGAGGUAACGGCUCACCAAGGCGACGAUGGGUAGCCGGUCUGAGAGGAUGGUCGGCCACACUGGGACUGAGACAUGGUCCAGACUCCUACGGGAGUUAGCAUCAGGGAAUCUUGCUCAAUGAGCGCAAGCUUGAAGCAGCGACGCCGCGUGUGGGAUGAAGGCCUUCGGGUCGUAAACCACUGUCAGGAGGGACGAAGAUCUGACGGUACCUCCAGAGGAAGCCCCGGCUAACUACGUGCCAGCAGCCGG
rnacentral:rRNA from 1 species